UUUGUGAAUCAUAUAAAAAACAAAUACGAGAUUAGGACUCUUUAACAAACAAAAUUGGUGUGCAGCUCCUUAACACCACUGCUAGUUGAACUGGCAGGUUGCAAAUCGACAUGAAUGGGUCAUUAAGUGCACUAGAGCUCUAUUUUCAUGUCUAAUUAGAAAAUUUUAAACUCCAAAAAUAGUUAAAAUCAAGGAGAUCUAUUAACAUAUCAAAAUUUUG
rnacentral:lncRNA from 1 species